UGCUGGAGGUAUCAGAAGUGCGAAUGCUGACAUGAGUAACGAUAAAGGGAGUGAAAAACUCCCUCGCCGGAAGAUCAAGGGUUCCUGUCCAACGUUAAUCGGGGCAGGGUAAGUCGACCCCUAAGGCGAGGCCGAAAGGCGUAGUCGAUGGGAAACGGGUUAAUAUUCCCGUACUUCUUAUAAUUGCGAUGGAGGGACGGAGAAGGCUAGGUGAGCCUGGCGACGGUUGUCCAGGUCCAAGUACGUAGGCUGAUGGUUUAGGCAAAUCCGGACCAUCUUAAGGCUGAGAUACGAUGUCGAGUCACUACGGUGAUGAAGUCAUUGAUGCCAUGCUUCCGGGAAAAGCUUCUAAGCUUCAGAUUAUAAGAAAUCGUACCCCAAACCGACACAGGUGAUCAGGUAGAGAAUACCAAGGCGCUUGAGAGAACUCGGGUGAAGGAACUAGGCAAAAUGGUACCGUAACUUCGGGAGAAGGUACGCUCCUAGCGGUGAUGAGACUUGCUCUCUAAGCUGCCGGGAGUCGCAGAUACCAGGUGGCUGCAACUGUUUAUUAAAAACACAGCACUGUGCAAAAUCGAAAGAUGACGUAUACGGUGUGACGCCUGCCCGGUGCCGGAAGGUUAAUUGAUGGGGUUAGACUUCGGUCGAAGCUCUUGAUCGAAGCCCCGGUAAACGGCGGCCGUAACUAUAACGGUCCUAAGGUAGCGAAAUUCCUUGUCGGGUAAGUUCCGACCUGCACGAAUGGCGUAAUGAUGGCCACGCUGUCUCCACCCGAGACUCAGUGAAAUUGAAAUCGCAGUGAAGAUGCUGCGUCCCCGCGGCUAGACGGAAAGACCCCGUGAACCUUUACUAUAGCUUGGCACUGAACAUUGACCCUACAUGUGUAGGAUAGGUGGGAGACUGUGAAAUAAUCGCGCUAGCGGUUAUGGAGUCGUCCUUGAAAUACCACCCUUGUAUGCUUGAUGUUCUAACGUUGGCCCCUUAUCGGGGUUACGGACAGUGCCUGGUGGGUAGUUUGACUGGGGCGGUCUCCUCCCAAAGAGUAACGGAGGAGCACGAAGGUGGGCUAAUCACGGUCGGACAUCGUGAGGUUAGUGCAAUGGCAUAAGCCCGCUUGACUGCGAGAAUGACAAUUCGAGCAGGUGCGAAAGCAGGUCAUAGUGAUCCGGUGGUUCUGAAUGGAAGGGCCAUCGCUCAACGGAUAAAAGGUACUCCGGGGAUAACAGGCUGAUACCGCCCAAGAGUUCAUAUCGACGGCGGUGUUUGGCACCUCGAUGUCGGCUCAUCACAUCCUGGGGCUGAAGUCGGUCCCAAGGGUAUGGCUGUUCGCCAUUUAAAGUGGUACGCGAGCUGGGUUUAGAACGUCGUGAGACAGUUCGGUCCCUAUCUGCCGUGGGCGUUGGAUGAUUGAGAGGGGCUGCUCCUAGUACGAGAGGACCGGAGUGGACGAACCGCUGGUGUUCGGGUUGUGUCGCCAGACGCAUUGCCCGGUAGCUAAGUUCGGAAUCGAUAACCGCUGAAAGCAUCUAAGCGGGAAGCGAGCCUCAAGAUGAGUCAUCCCUAGACCUUUAAGGUCUCUAAAGGGUUGUUGAAGACUACAACGUUGAUAGGUCGGGUGUGUAAGUGCUGUGAGGCAUUGAGCUAACCGAUACUAAUUGCCCGUGAGGCUUAACC
rnacentral:rRNA from 1 species